GAUGAACGCUGGCGGCGUGCCUAAUACAUGCAAGUCGAGCGAACAGAUGAGGAGCUUGCUCCUCUGACGUUAGCGGCGGACGGGUGAGUAACACGUGGAUAACCUACCUAUAAGACUGGGAUAACUUCGGGAAACCGGAGCUAAUACCGGAUAAUAUAUUGAACCGCAUGGUUCAAUAGUGAAAGACGGUUUUGCUGUCACUUAUAGAUGGAUCCGCGCGGCAUUAGCUAGUUGGUAAGGUAACGGCUUACCAAGGCAACGAUGCGUAGCCGACCUGAGAGGGUGAUCGGCCACACUGGAACUGAGACACGGUCCAGACUCCUACGGGAGGGAGCAGUAGGGAAUCUGCCGCAAUGGGCGAAAGCCUGACGGAGCAACGCCGCGUGAGUGAUGAAGGUGUUCGGAUCGUAAAACUCUGUUAUUAGGGAAGAACAAAUGUGUAAGUAACUAUGCACGUCUUGACGGUACCUAAUCAGAAAGCCACGGCUAACUACGUG
rnacentral:rRNA from 1 species